ACAGAGGUGGCAAGCGUUGUUCGGAAUUACUGGGCGUAAAGCGUACGCAGGCGGCUGGGUAAGACAGGUGUGAAAUCCCCGGGCUUAACCUGGGAACUGCAUUUGUGACUGCCUAGCUAGAGUUUGUCAGAGGGGGGUGGAAUUCCGCGUGUAGCAGUGAAAUGCGUAGAUAUGCGGAGGAACACCGAUGGCGAAGGCAAUCCCCUGGGCCUGCACUGACGCUCAUGCACGAAAGCGUGGGGAGCAAACAG
rnacentral:rRNA from 1 species